UACGUAGGGUGCGAGCGUUAAUCGGAAUUACUGGGCGUAAAGCGCACGUAGGCGGCGAUUUAAGUCAGAGGUGAAAGCCCGGGGCUCAACCCCGGAAUAGCCUUUGAGACUGGAUUGCUAGAAUCUUGGAGAGGCGGGUGGAAUUCCGAGUGUAGAGGUGAAAUUCGUAGAUAUUCGGAAGAACACCAGUGGCGAAGGCGGCCCGCUGGACAAGUAUUGACGCUGAGGUGCGAAAGCGUGGGGAGCAAACAGG
rnacentral:rRNA from 1 species